rnacentral:SRP_RNA from 1 species
GCCGGGCGAGGUGGCGGGCGCCUGUAGUCCCAGCUACUCGGGAGGCUGAGGCAGGAGAAUGGCGUGAACCCGGGAGGCAGAGCUUGCAGUGAGCCAAGAUCACGCCACUGCACUCCAGCCUGGGCGGCAGAGCAAGACUCUGUCUCAAAAAAAAAAAAAAAUUAUUUCAUUUAAUGUAGUCUCACUCUGUUGCCCAGGCUGGAGUGCAGUGGCAUGAUCUCGGCUCACUGUAACCUCUGCCUCCCAGGUCAAAGCGAUUUCCAGCUAAUU